rnacentral:rRNA from 1 species
GACGAACGCUGACGGUGUGCUUUAGACAUGCAAGUCGAACGAGAAAGCCCUUCGGGGAGAGUAGAGUGGCGAACGGGUGAGUAACACGUGGGUAACCUGCCCCUCGCAGAGGGAUAACCGGGGGAAACCCCGGCUAAUACCUCGUACGCUUGCCGGGUCGCAUGGCUCGGCAAGGAAAGGUAGCUUCGGCCAUCCGGCGAGGGAUGGGCCCGCGGUCCAUUAGCUAGUUGGUGGGGUAACGGCCCACCAAGGCGACGAUGGAUAGCUGGUCUGAGAGGAUGAUCAGCCACACUGGGACUGAGACACGGCCCAGACUCCUACGGGAGGCAGCAGUCGGGAAUCUUGCGCAAUGGGCGAAAGCCUGACGCAGCAACACCGUGUGGGCGACGAAGGCCUUCGGGUCGUAAAGCCCUGUUGUUGGGGACGAAGGACGAAGGGUUAAUAGCCCCUAGUCUGACGGUACCCUUCGAGGAAGCCCCGGCUAACUACGUGCCAGCCGCCGCAGUAAUAC